ACACAUGCAAGUCGAACGAUGAAACUUAGUAGACUUCUUCGGAAAGACACUAAGCGGAUUAGUGGCGAACGGGUGAGUAACGCGUGAGUAACCUGCCUUACACAAGGGGAUAGCCUUUGGAAACGAAGAAUAAUACCCUAUAAAACUAUAAAAGCACAUGCUAGAAUGGUCAAAGUGCUAGCGGUGUAAGAUGGACUUGCGUCUGACUAGCUAGUUGGUGAGAUAAAAGCUCACCAAGGCAACGAUCAGUAGCCGGCUUGAGAGAGUGUACGGCCACAUUGGGACUGAGACACGGCCCAGACUCCUACGGGAGGCAGCAGUGGGGAAUUUUGCACAAUGGGGGAAACCCUGAUGCAGCGACGCCGCGUGAUUUAGAAGGCCUUCGGGUUGUAAAAAUCUUUUGUAUAGGAAGAAAAUGACAGUACUAUACGAAUAAGGUCCGGCUAAUUACGUGCCAGCAGCCGCGGUAAUACGUAAGGACCGAGCGUUGUCCGGAAUCAUUGGGCGUAAAGGGUACGUAGGCGGCUAGAAAAGUUAGAAGUCAAAGGCUAUAGCUCAACUAUAGUAAGCUUCUAAAACUAUUUAGCUUGAGAAAUGGAAGGGAAAGUGGAAUUCCUAGUGUAGCGGUGGAAUGCGCAGAUAUUAGGAAGAAUACCGGUGGCGAAGGCGACUUUCUGGCCA
rnacentral:rRNA from 2 species